GUGUCAGCCGCCGCGGUAAUACGUAGGUGGCAAGCGUUGUCCGGAAUUAUUGGGCGUAAAGCGCGCGCAGGCGGUCCUUUAAGUCUGAUGUGAAAGCCCACGGCUCAACCGUGGAGGGUCAUUGGAAACUGGGGGACUUGAGUGCAGGAGAGAAGAGUGGAAUUCCACGUGUAGCGGUGAAAUGCGUAGAGAUGUGGAGGAACACCAGUGGCGAAGGCGACUCUUUGGCCUGUAACUGACGCUGAGGCGCGAAAGCGUGGGGAGCAAACAGGAUUAGAUACCCUGGUAGUCCACGCCGUAAACGAUGAGUGCUAAGUGUUAGAGGGUUUCCGCCCUUUAGUGCUGCAGUAAACGCAUUAAGCACUCCGCCUGGGGAGUACGGCCGCAAGGCUGAA
rnacentral:rRNA from 1 species